GCAAACACUUAAAAAUGUUUGUCUCGAGGAGCAUAUAUACAAGGUUAAAGAAUUAAUUGAUCAUGAAGCUCUCCGUCUCUUUAGCUUAUAUGCCUUCAAACAAGAUCAUCCCAAAGAAGGAUAUGAGAAGCUAUCAGAGAUGGGAAUAAGCUAUGCUCAAGGCAAUCCGUUAGCUCUUAGAGUUUUAGGCUCUAACAUGUAUGGUGAGGAUAUAGAAGAUUGGGAAAGUGAGUUGAAAAAAUUGAAAGAAAUUCCUGAUUUCGACAUUCAAAAAGUCCUGAGAAUAAGUUAUGAUAAACUAGAUCGUCAUCAAAAAAGUAUAUUUCUUCAUAUUGCAUGUUUCUUU
rnacentral:misc_RNA from 1 species